rnacentral:misc_RNA from 1 species
GGAAGGAUCAUUAACGCUAAUCCAAAAACCUAAACCAAUCCUUAAGUUGCAGCAUUGGUGCAAGCUAGCGAAAGCAGGCAUGUCCAUUGCAGCAUCUAAUAAAACUAAUCUAAAGGAGUUUAACUAAGCUCUUUAUUAAAAACCAAAUUCUCAACGGUGGAUAUCUUGGUUUCCGUAACGAUGAAGAACGCAGCGAAGUGCGAUAAGCAGUGCGAAUUGCAGAACCGUGAGUCAUCAGAUUUUUGAACGCAACUGGCGCCAGUUGGCAAUCCAGCUGGCAUGCUUGUUUCAGUGUCUUGUUUUCUCCUAACCCAAAUCUUAAUGUGAGAGAUACCCUUCUCUUACUAAGUACGAAAGCACUCUGUACUCUGCAGGCAUCCUUGAUUCGUCAAGGGUUGCACUCAAUGCAGCAGUCACAUUUAUAUGUGAACUCAUUGAGAGUUGAGACAGUGUAGUUUAUCUACUAGUGCUUAGAUCUCUAAACUUUACUUGCAUCUGAAAUCAAGCAGGACCACCCGCUGAACUUAAGCAUAUCACUAAGCGGAGGAAAAGAAAUUAACUAAGAUUGCCUCAGUAACGGCGAGUGAAGCGGCAAAAGCCCAAACUGGUAAUCUUCACCCUGCGGGUGACGAAUUGUAAUCUACAGGUGGAAUACUCAAUGUGCAGAGACGCAGAAGUUCCCUAGAAUGGGACGCCAUAGAGGGUGACAGCCCCGUACUUGGUGUCUCUGCUAAACGAGUAUCCUUCGAAGAGUCGGGUUGUUUUGUAUUGCAGCCCUAAGUGGGAGAUAAACUUCUUCUAAGGCUAAAUAUAUAUGGGAAACCGAUAGCGAACAAGUACUGUGAAGGAAAGAUGAAAAGAACUUUGAAAAGAGAGUCAAAAGACUUGAAAUCGUUGAGAAGGAA